rnacentral:sRNA from 1 species
CUUCCUCGAUCUGCUGGGGGCAGAUGAAAUGGAUAUGGGCGUCCAUGCCGCCGGCUGUGAGGAUCUUGCCUUCGCCGGCAAUGGCUUCGGUCGAGGGGCCGAUGAUGAUGUCGACGCCGGACUGCGUGUCGGGAUUGCCGGCCUUGCCGAUGCCAGCGAUGCGGCCGUUCUUGAGGCCGAUAUCGGCUUUGUAGAUGCCAGUGUAAUCGACAACCAGCGCAUUGGUGAUGACGGUAUCGACGGCGCCCUCGGCACGCGUGCGCUGCGACUGGCCCAUGCCGUCGCGAAU